rnacentral:tRNA from 1 species
GGUGGCUCAGUGGUAGAGUGCUUGCCUGGCAUGCAGGAGGCCCUGGGUUCAAUUCCUCAGCACCA